rnacentral:tRNA from 1 species
UCCAAGGUCGCUCAGUUGGUAAAGAAUCUGCCUGCAAUGCAGGAGACCUGGGUUCGAUUCCUGGGUUAGGAA